rnacentral:rRNA from 1 species
AAAUUGAAGAGUUUGAUCAUGGCUCAGAUUGAACGCUGGCGGCAGGCCUAACACAUGCAAGUCGAACGGUAACAGGAAACAGCUUGCUGUUUCGCUGACGAGUGGCGGACGGGUGAGUAAUGUCUGGGAAACUGCCCGAUGGAGGGGGAUAACUACUGGAAACGGUAGCUAAUACCGCAUAACGUCGCAAGACCAAAGAGGGGGACCUUAGGGCCUCUUGCCAUCGGAUGUGCCCAGAUGGGAUUAGCUAGUAGGUGGGGUAAC